rnacentral:rRNA from 1 species
AACGGCCGUACCAUGCUGAAUAUACCGGUUCUCGUUAGAUCACCGAAGUUAAGCAUCCUUGGGCGCGGUCAGUACUUGGGUGGGUGACCACCUGGGAACACUGCGUGCCGUU